UAGGGAAUCUUCCGCAAUGGACGAAAGUCUGACGGAGCAACGCCGCGUGAGUGAUGAAGGUUUUCGGAUCGUAAAACUCUGUUAUUAGGGAAGAACAAAUGCGUAAGUAACUGUGCGCAUCUUGACGGUACCUAAUCAGAAAGCCACGGCUAACUACGUGCCAGCAGCCGCGGUAAUACGUAGGUGGCAAGCGUUAUCCGGAAUUAUUGGGCGUAAAGCGCGCGUAGGCGGUUUCUUAAGUCUGAUGUGAAAGCCCACGGCUCAACCGUGGAGGGUCAUUGGAAACUGGGAAACUUGAGUACAGAAGAGGAAAGUGGAAUUCCAUGUGUAGCGGUGAAAUGCGCAGAGAUAUGGAGGAACACCAGUGGCGAAGGCGACUUUCUGGUCUGUAACUGACGCUGAUGUGCGAAAGCGUAGGGAUCAAACA
rnacentral:rRNA from 1 species